UGGUCGAUAGUGUUGCACAGGUCUGCUAAAUCUUUACCGGUUUUCUUUUUAUUUGUUCUGUUGAUUAGCAUCACCGUGUGCUAAGGGAUGGGGCUGGGGUGCCAGAAAGAUUUUUCUGUGUCUCUUCUCUACUGUCAGCUUUACCUCAUGCCUGCUGCACAGAGGGAGCCUCCUCCUCAUCAUUCUCUUGCCUCUCCCCCAGUCCAGACCAGUGUCACUUGUUCUUUGGUUCUUGCCUGCCUGGUGGUGGGUGUGGAGGGUGUGGAAUGAGGUUCUCUGUCGUUCGGACUCAGCCCCAGCCUUAGGUAGGCACUGCUUUCUCUGUCUUGGAAUUGGGGCUUCCCUAGUAAGCCUGACCUUCUUCCAGUAAUAGGAGACUUGAUGGUUAGGCCAGGACUGCAUCCUCUGGGAGUAGACACUUUGGUCUUUUCCUUUCCUCCCGUUUCAACGUGUCUUCCCCAGUGCUCUAGAGAACAUAGGGCUGCUGUCCUUCCCCAGUGGCUUCAUGUCUCUUAUUUCGAGAAAGAUGUGGGUGUGGUCUCACACCUUUCCUCCAGCCAUGUCCGCUCCCCUCUUCCGGCCCUGAACCAUGGAGGAAGGUUUUCUCUGGUCUCCCACCUUGCCCCAAAUCAUCCAUGAAGGCCUAGUGGAGCUUUAUGGAGAGGAGCUUCUGAGUCGUGGCAGCUCCCUUACGUCUGCAACUCCCAGGGGAUCUGCGGGCUCGUGCCGGUCACACUUGGCAGACACCAGCCCCCAAACUAACUUGCUCACAAACCGAAGGCAAGCCCUGUUGUCGCACAUGGUUUUUUUGCAUAAGACUUAAGAAGAGAUCGUCUUCUGUCUGCGCUGUCAUACAAGUCAAGGUGAUGCGUUUUGCCUUCCAAUAAACUCUCGGAAUAAUGACAACA